CUUAUACUCCUUCCGUCCGGAAUUACUUGUCACACAAAUGAAUAAAAGUGGAUGUAUCUAGAACUAAAUUACAUCUAGAUACAUCCAUUCUUAUGACAANUAUUUCCGGACGGAGGGAGUAUUUA
rfam:Hordeum vulgare subsp. vulgare, WGS project CAJW01000000 data, contig: morex_contig_58795